rnacentral:lncRNA from 1 species
GUUUCAUCUUUAUUUGGAUUUUUCCUAAGUUGAGCUCUCUUUAACUUCACUGGUAAUCUUAAAGCAUAAGUUAGAUCUGAUAUCUAUUCACCAAGCCUUAGAAAUAGAUAAUACAUUCUUAAAUACUAGAUAAACCCAUUGUAAACUCCAUCAUUAAACAAUUGAUCCAAAUUUCAAAUAACAAUUCACAGAUCAAUCUAUGAUAUGCUCAGCUUUUCAUUUUACCAAAUCUUAGAAAAAAUUAGCUAUUUCACAAUUUGAAAUUCAAAAUACUACUUUUCAUAUUCUUCAAAACUUUAUCUCAUGUCAUGAUUUGAACUAUUCUCUAAUCAACUCCUUUAUAUAUAUAUAUAACAAUGGUUACAUACUAAGACCGAACAACAUUCUUUCACCAAUGUCAUCACAAUAAUUGUCCUUAGAAUAUUUCACUAUCUAAGUAUAACCUUAAACAUCGUAACUUGUAUCUAGUUCUCAUAUGUUGAUUCCAUGAAAUUAAAAAAUAAUCCAAUGUCCCCUUUAAUUAACAAACUAUAGUUGCUAGCCUUUUUGUCGACUUGUCUUCUUACAUUCUAUUAAAAGAAGCUGUACACUGUAAUUUAGUUAUAACUUCCCAUAACUAGGCUAAAAAUAGAUACUCAAACUCCACCAUAUUAAUAAUAAUAAUAUCUAAAUAUAAUUUUAUAAAUCUACCUCAUAACAUGACUAUAUUGUUUGAAUUAAAUCUUUAACCUUUACUGAUCUUGUCAAAAAUGAUCUAAAUACCAUAUGUCUCCUGUAAUUGGAACCCAGAAUAAAAAUAUUUUAGCAUAACUAUUCCGAUUCUAAAUUAAUAAUACAUGCAAAAUUUCAAUUGUUCACGAUUUUCUAAAGUUC